UCUCGAUUGGUCUAGUGGUCAGGAUACCUGCUUGUCAUUCCAACUAAUUCGGUUCACGUUGUGAAUUCGUCAACUAGGAGCAAACCGCAGGUGGCCGGGGUUCGAUUCCCCGAUCGAGAG